ensembl:lncRNA
GACACAACUUAGCAACUGAACAGCAACAACCCACAUGGCAUCAUUUGAGAGCACCCCAUCGCACCUGUAUAAGGUUCAUAUGCUCCAAGCCACCAGUAAAUCCCAUGGAGUACUCCAGUGUAGGCGACAGUCUACAUCAUACAGGUUUUGUUCAGCCUUGAAAUCUUCUUGCAUUGAGGAAGAAGACAUUACUUUCCUUGGUAUCCCUCUCUGAAGGAAGCUGCUCACAACUAAACUACUUGGGUUCCAAUUUUUAUUAGUUAUGCUGCUUCAAUUUUUUGGCUGCACAUACAGAGUCAUUUUACCAGACAUACCCACAGUGCAAGAAUGACUGAAUAAGCAUGGGUUCCAAAGUUAACCAAAAACAGAAUCUAGAAGUAACAUUUCCAUCUAUAAUGGAGGUCCCAACCUCUUCUUCCUUAUGUUACAUUUUCAGUCAGAAGCCCUCAUUUUCCUUUAUUGAAA